CUCUAAGAUUCCAUUUCCUUCCUCAUUUGUGAAAUGGGUUUUCCAUAAGAUCCGCCCGGAGGGAAUGUGGCAAGAAGGGCCUAACCCCAGCGCAUGGGCAGGGGCUCAAAAACCGGUCUCCACUACCAGACCAAGCAGAGGAUGGGAAAAAUCAUUCCCAUACUUCAGACACUCAUUCAAGCAAAAAUUAUUUCCUCCCCUUGAAUGAUCCAGGAGGUUGUUUUCGGAGGAGAGGAUCUGUAGGUAAAUGAGAAGGAGCUUCAAUACUGAGCAACAUGAAGACAGAAAUGAUGCUACCUCCAGUCCACUUUCUGGGAGGGACCCUCUCUGUUUCGCUUCUCCCUGACACAUGCAUCAGCAAGGAGCAAAUUACCAUUUAUUAAACCCUAAUUAUCACUUCUGUUUUUCAAUACUGUUCUCUGUGUAUGUGCCCCUCCCCACCCCCAGGCCUGCACUUCACUGCCACUAAAUUAGAAAUAUGUCUUGUUAGCAUAGCAUCCAUAUUUAUAGGCCGUGUUGACUGAUGCUGUAGUGACAUGGUACAAAGUCAAAGGCCUUUAAUAGAAGGUUAGGGACAUGUCCUGAUUCUGGAGUGAUCCAGCCACACAGCAGAUGUGGGAGAUUUGAGGAGACUUAAUAAAGAUUUAGGCUGUUUUGAGAGAGUUUCAAGGUUUUCAUGAGAAUCUAAGCAAGUUUAAGCAAAACAACAACAACAAAAAAUCUCAUUUUCGGGACAAGUCCAUGCUUUUUUAAUCUGUGUGCCACAAAGACCGGGAGGCUGACUGGGGGUGGGGGAUGAGUGUCCUG
rnacentral:lncRNA from 1 species